AACGAACGCUGGCGGCAUGCCUAACACAUGCAAGUCGAACGAGACCUUCGGGUCUAGUGGCGCACGGGUGCGUAACGCGUGGGAACCUGCCCUUAGGUUCGGAAUAACUCCCCGAAAGGGGUGCUAAUACCGGAUAAUGUCUUCGGACCAAAGAUUUAUCGCCUUUGGAUGGGCCCGCGUUGGAUUAGCUGGUUGGUAGGGUAAAAGCCUACCAAGGCGACGAUCCAUAGCUGGUCGGAGAGGAUGAUCAGCCACACUGGGACUGAGACACGGCCCAGACUCCUACGGGAGGCAGCAGUGGGGAAUAUUGGACAAUGGGCGAAAGCCUGAUCCAGCAAUGCCGCGUGAGUGAGGAAGGCCUUAGGGUUGUAAAGCUCUUUUACCCGGGAUGAUAAUGACAGUACCGGGAGAAGAAGCACCGGCUAACUCCGUG
rnacentral:rRNA from 1 species